CCUGCCCCGUGCCGCCCGCCCCACACCGCCUCGACCGAGACCGCGCCCCUCCCCAAACGACGACGAUGAUGGAGGGCGCCGCCCAGCACCUGACCUACAGAUUCGCCAGCACCUGACCUACAGAUUCGCCGGCUCCCCGCUCCUUGGGGCCAGCCCCUCCCCCGUGCCGGGUCGAGCAUCGGCUUGGAGGCCUACACACGAGCACGGGUUCGCUCGGUCCGUCCGGGUAGGGCGCCACCGGCGGUCUUCUUCUCCGGCCAUCCGUCGUCGGUGGCCAUUCUUCCUGCUCCCGUGCCUCUUAUUUGGAUCGAGGUCGCGGUGGUAGUGGUUCGGCGGCGGUUGGGAGGGAGGCGGUGGCGGCGGUGGGAGCAGCAACGACGGGUGGUGGGGUCCGGCAGCGGGUGGAGGGGCUAUGGCGCGGUGAUGGGGAGCAGUAGGUCUGUGGCCGGACCAGAGCGGGCAGGGGGUUUCUUCCCGGAUUGUUGAUGAAUAUACUUGGGGAUUCAUGAUUCUUGCACCCAUGAUGUGACGCGAGAUUUGUUGGGAUUUUGUCGAGGGAGAUGGGGUGCGAUUUGGGGGGAUCAUGCCUCGGAUUCUCGGGGUCGCCGGGGAUGCGGUGAUUGAAUGAGGAGACGGUGGAGGGGGGGAAGGAAGGAGGAGGGGGAGGCUGCAGCUGCGAGGCUGCGAUGGGAGACGUUGGGGAUGCCCACUGUACAUUGGUGUCCUUCUCAACACAAACCCAUGGAGUGCCCAACUCGGAUUUCAAAGGGACUUGGCUGGUUCGAUACUGCCAAUUUCUUGGGUGCUGAUUUUGAGUUGGUAAAAACCCUUGAUUGAUGCAAAUCUUAAUUUUAUUUUAAGUGGCUGCAGGUUUAUAAUCUGGGUAGAGCAAAUUGUUUUUGGUUGGCGAUGACUGCACUCAUAUGGAUAUCCCUAUGCUCCUUAUAUCUUGCUGGUUACCAUUAUUGUUGAUUAUUUCUCUUUUUGUUCUUUUCUGUUAUCUAAUAGGGAGUAAUAGAUAUUCUCUUACUACAUGUACAUCUAAAGGACAAAGGAGCAUGCCAUCUAUGAUUAAACAUGGGUUUUGUUUGAGAUAUAACGUUUCUAGCUGAAUGUUGUUUCAUACAAUUAAUCAUUAUUUCAGUUAGAGAGAUUAAACCCAAAUUUGUGUAUGCAUUGAAUUGGAAAUAUCACAACUGCAUCUUAAUUGUCUGCUUAAAUUCCACAGUAGAGACUUUGCCACCGAUGACACACUAUAUGUGGAUGCCACAUCCUUUCUUCUGCACGCAGCGCAUGGCAUUCCGGUAAGCCUUGUACCGUUGAGAUGCUUGACGAGGUGUGCAGCUGUAGUUUAGUAAAUUUGUGUGUUCGAUUUGAGCGUUGCAGGUUCGUUUAUGUGUGCUUCUCAGUAUUGUACAUGAGGUACCAUGAGGGGUGGUGACCCAGAACUUGUUGGCGUGGCGAAAGAGCCGGUUCCUGUGAUCAGGAUGCUGGAGGCUCUUGGGUCACAGCCCACAUGUCUGCUGGAAUCGAUCUGCUGUAACAUUGGCUGGGUGUUCUCUUCUCGCUCUACCAACACUGGCUGGGUGUUCUCUUCUCGACUCUACCAACACUCUGGAGUUACAAGCAAUUACAUCAGGAGCUCAAUCAAAAAUCACCUAAGAAAAAUAUGUCGUUCUUCUCUACAAGGGUUGCAUGUGGAAUUUGAGGAGAAUCUCUGUGCACUAGCAUCCGACUCCUUGAUGUUGCUCUGAUCAUAUUGUGUAAAUAUAUUUCUAAUAAAGCAAUCGCCCGAUGGUGUACAUGUUAGAAAUAACAAGAUGUAAUCAUCAAGUGUGAGAGAUGGUGGCAACAUCAUUAUGGGAUGGUAUGUACUGUUGUGCUCAUCAAUAGGUUAGUCUUUCAUUCUCUUGCAGCCAGUAUGUUUUUUGUUAUGCAAACAACUAGGAAAUAUCUAAUUUCUAUGUACGUCCAAAUAUAUAUAAGCCCUUGUCCCAUUGAGUCACUUACAAGGUUGCUACAACAUGCUAAGUAAGCAUCCAAUUAUUUACCCUAUUUUUUGUAUCAAUCCGAGAAAGACGAGAACGAUGGCUGGAAGGCAGGGCGUUGUUGGAUGGAAGGGAGAGUGAGAGAGACAGGAGGGGCAUGAGGUGACAAGUUCAGUGGGGUUGCCGAGGAGGUUUGAGGGAGACAGGCCACCAUUAAGAUUUUUAUAUCCGCUUGCAUGCGCGCUUGCUUGCUGAUGUGCGCGUGUGGCUGUUGCUGCUGCACAUGUGUGCGUGGUAUGCCAUUGCCGCUGUGUAUCGCUGUGACGCUAUGUGCUUGCUGCUGCUGCUCAGCGUGUGUGUGCGGUUGUGCCGUUGCUGUCGCGUUGUCUGGUAAAACCGCCAUGCACUUCUUUUUCUUGUGCUGAACAAUUCAUGAUCACUAUACUACUGAACUCUUUCUUGAAUAGAAGCCACAUGAACUUAGUUUGAGCUCUUAUGUUGUUAAAUGAAGCAUGAUUUUUAGUAAGCUGGACAAUAUUUUUGAUUUCCUCACUUAAUAGGAAAUUUUCAGUUCUGUUUGUAUUGUUCCAAUCAGUUGUUUUUACACUACUAUGUAAUCAGCACGCUUAUAUAUCAAGUGAUUAUAAUAUCUUCAUUAUUUCUGUCAUGACUUUGCUUUCUCAUAUUACUGAUCCAUGGUC